AAUCCGGUUGAUCCUGCCGGACCUGACUGCUAUCGGAUUGAUACUAAGCCAUGCGAGUCAUUGUAGUAAUACAAGGCAGACGGCUCAGUAACGCGUAGUCAACCUAACCUAUGGACGGGAAUAACCUCGGGAAACUGAGUAUAAUGCCCGAUAGAACAUUAUGCCUGGAAUGGUUUAUGUUCCAAAUGAUUUAUCGCCGUAGGAUGGGACUGCGGCCUAUCAGUUUGUUGGUGAGGUAAUGGCCCACCAAGACUAUUACAGGUACGGGCUCUGAGAGGAGUAGCCCGGAGAUGGGUACUGAGACACGGACCCAGGCCCUAUGGGGCGCAGCAGGCGAGAAAACUUUGCAAUGUGCGAAAGCACGACAAGGUUAAUCCGAGUGGUUUGUGCUAAACGAACCUUUUGUUAGUCCUAGAAACACUAACGAAUAAGGGGUGGGCAAGUUCUGGUGUCAGCCGCCGCGGUAAAACCAGCACCUCAAGUGGUCAGGAUGAUUAUUGGGCCUAAAGCAUCCGUAGCCGGUCCUGUAAGUUUUCGGUUAAAUCUGUACGCUUAACGUACAGGCUGCCGGGAAUACUGCAGAGCUAGGGAGUGGGAGAGGUAGACGGUACUCGGUAGGAAGGGGUAAAAUCCUUUGAUCUAUCGAUGACCACCUGUGGCGAAGGCGGUCUACCAGAACACGUUCGACGGUGAGGGAUGAAAGCUGGGGGAGCAAACCGGAUUAGAUACCCGGGUAGUCCCAGCCGUAAACUAUGCAAACUCAGUGAUGCAUUGACUUGUGGUCAAUGCAGUGCUGCAGGGAAGCCGUUAAGUUUGCCGCCUGGGAAGUACGUACGCAAGUAUGAAACUUAAAGGAAUUGGCGGGGGA
rnacentral:rRNA from 1 species